GAUGAACGCUGGCGGCGUGCCUAAUACAUGCAAGUCGAGCGAACAGACGAGGAGCUUGCUCCUCUGACGUUAGCGGCGGACGGGUGAGUAACACGUGGAUAACCUACCUAUAAGACUGGGAUAACUUCGGGAAACCGGAGCUAAUACCGGAUAAUAUAUUGAACCGCAUGGUUCAAUAGUGAAAGACGGUUUUGCUGUCACUUAUAGAUGGAUCCGCGCCGCAUUAGCUAGUUGGUAAGGUAACGGCUUACCAAGGCAACGAUGCGUAGCCGACCUGAGAGGGUGAUCGGCCACACUGGAACUGAGACACGGUCCAGACUCCUACGGGAGGCAGCAGUAGGGAAUCUUCCGCAAUGGGCGAAAGCCUGACGGAGCAACGCCGCGUGAGUGAUGAAGGUCUUCGGAUCGUAAAACUCUGUUAUUAGGGAAGAACAAAUGUGUAAGUAACUAUGCACGUCUUGACGGUACCUAAUCAGAAAGCCACGGCUAACUACGUGCCAGCAGCCGCGGUAAUACGUAGGUGGCAAGCGUUAUCCGGAAUUAUUGGGCGUAAAGCGCGCGUAGGCGGUUUUUUAAGUCUGAUGUGAAAGCCCACGGCUCAACCGUGGAGGGUCAUUGGAAACUGGAAAACUUGAGUGCAGAAGAGGAAAGUGGAAUUCCAUGUGUAGCGGUGAAAUGCGCAGAGAUAUGGAGGAACACCAGUGGCGAAGGCGACUUUCUGGUCUGUAACUGACGCUGAUGUGCGAAAGCGUGGGGAUCAAACAGGAUUAGAUACCCUGGUAGUCCACGCCGUAAACGAUGAGUGCUAAGUGUUAGGGGGUUUCCGCCCCUUAGUGCUGCAGCUAACGCAUUAAGCACUCCGCCUGGGGAGUACGACCGCAAGGUUGAAACUCAAAGGAAUUGACGGGGACCCGCACA
rnacentral:rRNA from 1 species